UACGAAGGGGGCUAGCGUUGCUCGGAAUCACUGGGCGUAAAGCGCACGUAGGCGGAUUUUUAAGUCAGGGGUGAAAUCCUGGAGCUCAACUCCAGAACUGCCUUUGAUACUGGGAAUCUCGAGUCCGGGAGAGGUGAGUGGAACUCCGAGUGUAGAGGUGAAAUUCGUAGAUAUUCGGAAGAACACCAGUGGCGAAGGCGGCUCACUGGCCCGGUACUGACGCUGAGGUGCGAAAGCGUGGGGAGCAAACAGGG
rnacentral:rRNA from 1 species